rnacentral:misc_RNA from 1 species
CUAAUCUUAAGAUAUGGGAUAUAAGAAAAAAAGGAUGCAUCCACACAUACAAAGGUCAUACUCGAGGAAUAAGUACCAUACGAUUCUCCCCUGAUGGCCGCUGGGUGGUUUCUGGCGGAUUUGACAAUGUUGUGAAGGUAUGGGACCUAACAGCUGGAAAGCUCUUGCACGACUUUAAGUUCCAUGAAGGGCACAUUCGAUCCAUAGAUUUCCAUCCACUUGAGUUUCUUUUGGCAACAGGUUCAGCUGACCGCACCGUGAACUUUUGGGAUUUGGAAACAUUUGAAUUGAUUGGAUCGACUCGACGUGAGGCUGCAGGAGUACGAUCAAUCACCUUUCACCCGGAAGGAAGGACUCUGUUUUGUGGAUUGGAUGAUAGCUUGAAGGUUUAUUCAUGGGAGCCUGUAAAUUGUCAUGACUCUGUUGAAAUGGGAUGGUCGACUUUAAGCGAUCUCUGCAUACAUGAUGGGAAGCUUGUAGGUGGUGCUUAUUACCAAAACUAUGUUGGAG